rnacentral:rRNA from 1 species
CAGUAACGGCGAGUGAAGCGGCAACAGCUCAAAUUUGAAAUCUGGCCCCCCGGCCCGAGUUGUAAUUUGCAGAGGAUGCUUUUGGUGAGGCACCUACCGAGUCCCCUGGAAUGGGGCGCCGCAGAGGGUGAGAGCCCCGUAUGGUAGGACGCCGAGCCUCUGUAAAGCUCCUUCGACGAGUCGAGUAGUUUGGGAAUGCUGCUCUAAAUGGGAGGUAAAUUUCUUCUAAAGCUAAAUACCGGCCAGAGACCGAUAGCGCACAAGUAGAGUGAUCGAAAGAUGAAAAGCACUUUGAAAAGAGGGUUAAAAAGUACGUGAAAUUGUUGAAAGGGAAGCGCUUGUGACCAGACUUGCGCCGGGCGGAUCAUCCAGCGUUCUCGCUGGUGCACUCCGCCCGGCUCAGGCCAGCAUCGGUUUCCGCCGGGGGACAAAGGCUUCGGGAACGUGGCUCUCUUCGGGGAGUGUUAUAGCCCGUCGCGUAAUACCCCGGCGGGGACCGACGACCGCGCUUCGGCAAGGAUGCUGGCGUAAUGGUCAUCAGCGACCCGUCUUGAAACACGGACCGAGGAGUCAAGCAUUAGUGCGAGUGUUUGGGUGUAAAACCCGCACGCGUAAUGAAAGUGAACGUAGGUGAGAGCUUCGGCGCAUCAUCGACCGAUCCUGAUGUUUUCGGAAGGAUUUGAGUAGGAGCAUUAACGCUUGGACCCGAAAGAUGGUGAACUAUACUUGAAUAGGGUGAAGCCAGAGGAAACUCUGGUGGAGGCUCGCAGCGGUUCUGACGUGCAAAUCGAUCGUCAAAUUUGAGUAUAGG